UGUAUCGGAAGCCUGACGAGGAUGAGAACCUCCGGGGGCAAGAGGUUCGACCCGAGCGAAGCGAGAAAACGUUGCGUCAGCAACGGCCCGCAGGGCGAGCCAUCCUCUAUCACCGGCAG
rnacentral:sRNA from 4 species